AAACUGCUUUUGUACCGGAAUAAACCCCAGGUCGUGACCUGGGUUGAAUGUACGGUAAGAAUAAGGAUCGGCUAACUCCGUGCCAGCAGCCGCGGUAAUACGGAGGAUCCAAGCGUUAUCCGGAUUUAUUGGGUUUAAAGGGUGCGUAGGCGGCCUAUUAAGUCAGGGGUGAAAGACGGUGGCUCAACCAUCGCAGUGCCUUUGAUACUGAUGGGCUUGAAUGAACCUGAGGUAGGCGGAAUGUGACAAGUAGCGGUGAAAUGCAUAGAUAUGUCACAGAACACCAAUUGCGAAGGCAGCUUACUAAAGUUUAAUUGACGCUGAGGCACGAAAGCGUGGGGAUCAAACAGGAUUAGAUACCCUGGUAGUCCACGCCCUAAACGAUGAAUACUCGAUGUUAGCGAUAUACAGUUAGCGUCUAAGCGAAAGCGUUAAGUAUUCCACCUGGGGAGUACGCCCGCAAGGGUGAAACUCAAAGGAAUUGACGGGGGCCCGCACAAGCGGAGGAGCAUGUGGUUUAAUUCGAUGAUACGCGAGGAACCUUACCCGGGCUUGAAAGUUACUGAAUGGAUCAGAGAUGAUCCAGUCCUUCGGGACAGGAAACUAGGUGCUGCAUGGCU
rnacentral:rRNA from 1 species